UAGGGAAUAUUGGUCAAUGGAGGGAACUCUGAACCAGCCAUGCCGCGUGCAGGAAGAAGGCCCUCUGGGUUGUAAACUGCUUUUGACAGGGAACAAGAAGUCCAUGCGUGGAUUAGUGAGUGUACCUGUAGAAUAAGCCACGGCUAACUACGUGCCAGCAGCCGCGGUAAUACGUAGGUGGCAAGCGUUGUCCGGAUUUAUUGGGUUUAAAGGGUGCGUAGGCGGCUUUUUAAGUCAGUUGUGAAAUAUCUCGGCUUAACCGAGAGGGUGCGAUUGAUACUGGGAAGCUUGAGUUACAGCGAGGUCAGCGGAAUUGAUGGUGUAGCGGUGAAAUGCAUAGAUAUCAUCAAGAACACCGAUAGCGAAGGCAGCUGACUAGGAGUAUACUGACGCUGAGGCA
rnacentral:rRNA from 1 species